rnacentral:rRNA from 1 species
AGGACGAACGCUGGCGGCGUGCUUAACACAUGCAAGUCAAGGGGGCCCAGCAAUGGGCAACCGGCGAACGGGUGCGUAACACGUGAGCAACCUACCGAACUGUGGGGGAUAGCCGGCCUAACGGCCGAGUAAUACCGCAUACGCUCUCAGGGAGGCAUUUCUUUGAGAGGAAACCUACGGGACAGAUCGAGGGGCUCGCGGCCUAUCAGCUAGUUGGCGGGGUAACGGCUCACCAAGGCAACGACGGGUAGC